rnacentral:rRNA from 1 species
UACGUAGGGGGCAAGCGUUGUCCGGAUUUAUUGGGCGUAAAGAGCGUGUAGGCGGCCAGGUAGGUCUGCUGUGAAAACUCGAGGCUCAACCUCGAGAUGUCGGCGGAAACCAUCUGGCUAGAGUCCGGAAGAGGAGAGUGGAAUUCCUGGUGUAGCGGUGAAAUGCGCAGAUAUCAGGAAGAACACCCGUGGCGAAGGCGGCUCUCUGGGACGGUACUGACGCUGAGACGCGAAAGCGUGGGGAGCGAACAGG